ensembl:lncRNA
UUCAUCAUCACGACCUUCUACGCACUCGCAAAAGGGGAAGGGACUGCAUGCUAAUGGGCUCUCUGGAAUGUAAUGAAUAGGUCUCCGAAUUCCUGUCAACUACUGAUUAGCUAUUAGUUCGACCUACAUACAUCUAUAGCACCAUUUCUCCUGACAGUGUGCAAGUUAGGUGGAGCGAUCCCCCUUGCACCAGGGACUACGCGCGUCACCAAGAAACACAUGCCUGCUCUAUAUCCUUACCGGCUAUACGGUCUGAUUGCCGCACGUCAAGCCCAGAAGAGACACCUCCCUCACCUUGGGCAUAGCUCACCAACCAAGAGCCAGGCCUUGCCAACUUGGUUGAUCUGAGAAGGCGGGAGGGGGCCGCACAUCACACCAGAAGUAGCCAUUUCACUUGCAGCUCCAUGGAGAGAACAACACCAACUAAGAGGCCUGAAUGAAUUCGCUCACAAGAUGAACAAUGAGGUUGUUCUUCACUAAAAAACACACAGAGAUUCCUAAACCAAAAAGAGAACGGCAGCACUUCAGAUCGGCCAAACAGGUUCCUGUUCCUAUGCCUCAUCCUCUUACCCCCGCUUGCCUCCCCUCAUCCCCUUCCCCUACUCCUCCGUGAUGCCCACAGGCUUCAAGUCAGGUCGCAAACACAUAGGACUCCUUCCACAUGACUCCAGCACAAAGGAUGUCACACUUGUUCCAUACACUCAAACGGACCAAGCAGUGCUAUCACACUCACUUAAAACACGCAGAAGCAGCCAAACCCUGAGCACGUACGUCCCCUCCUGCACUACUGGAGCCCACCGCUCACCUUCACACCUCCGUGCAUUUCUGCUGUUUUACACUGACGCAGCCUCGCUACAGCUCCAUGGCUGUCACACAAGGCCUGCAGGACCUCUUGCUCCACAAACCCCGUCUGCAGGCAUUGCUUCAUGAGCUUCACCACCUGCCCUCCUGAGCAAAAACAAGCACUGAGAACAAGAGCAAAGCGCACUGGAUUCCACCUGGCCUGCUCCCCCAACAAGCCUCAGUCCUGCCACACACAUACCCUGCUACGCGGACUCAGCCCCAAAGCCUGGCUGGGCAUCAGCACGUGCAUCAUUCUUCAAACGCCCCAGCCCAGCAGCAAGGGAACAAAGCGUUGCGAAAGCUGAAACAAAAAUGCUCGGGGACAUUCUUGCUAGCACUGAACGGGAACAAAUCUACCGCUGAGCAACAGGACGGGGGACAAACAGCAGAAAACAACCAACCUGCAGAACUAACUCGUUUCCGGUUGGUCCAGAUGUUUGUAUGCUCCCUCCCACGGCCCAGGCCAAACUUGCUGAGCUGCUCCUCCUUUGUGCAGGACGACAACGGUGCCCAUGGCAUGUGGUGCCUAUGCACAGCAUGCCUUUUACUUGCUUUUCCUCCCUUCAUCCUCCAUUACCAAACAGCAACUCCAAUCUCUCCCGGCUAAAAAAUCACUUGGAUAAAAAAAGAACUGGCAAACUUACUUUUAAAAUUACAACUUGAUGCUUUAAAGCAGAAGCUCACCUAGCAAGGACACCUACCUUAGACAAGCUCAACCAACACGG